AUAUUUGGAAAGUACUCACAGAGUCAUGUCUGUAAUAUAAAGAAAUUUAAAGUUUAUGGAAGUUUAUAUGAUGAUGAUGAAAAUAUGAUUGAAUUAUUAGAGAGUGGUCUACACAAUGACAAUGUAAAAGAGACAUUUGAUUUAAAACAUAAAGUUGGAGGAAAAAUCUUUCCUGUAAAUUUCAUCAAAAUUGAACCAUUGGUAAGCUGGGGAACAACUUUUAGCUUUAGCAUUUGGUUUGUUGAGUUGAUUGGGGUUGAUGAUGAUGAUUGUGUCAAGGUUUACACAGAUUGGUUUAAUAGUGACCCUUUCAUCUUCAUAAAGAACAACACCAUGUUCUCGCAUGGAGAUUGGCUUCCAGUUCCUCAUCAGGAACAUAAGCUCUUAUUGUUUGAGCAUUGUUGCAUUUUAACGAAACACACUUCGGACACUUGGUUCAUCCGUUGAUGAUUGCACAUCUUGUGUUGUUAGUGAUUAAAAACAAUACUAAACCCUUCCACCCAUCAUACAAAGGACAACACCAUAUCUUCUGAAGAGUUGAUUUCUCACCGCCAAAAGUAUAAGCUUAUAUAAUACAGUUUGACUAUUAUUCAGUCGUAAUAAAGCAUAUUAUGUAGUGUCGGUUCAUCUGUUGAUGAUUGUACAACACAGGAUUAUCGCGAUUAAAGACAGAUCACAGUGGAUGUAUGCGAGUUACAGUAAGUUACAGCUUGUAGAUAUAGCACUGAGUUUACAGUGGAUGACACUAUAGGUUACAGUGAAAUACAGUAGAUGAUUCUUGCUCUUGCUUGCUGUAGUUUUUUGACCAUUAAUCACCCUACUAGAUAACUUAAGGACUGAUAUUUUGUCAUCAGGAUCUGAUGUUUACCAAAUUCUUUAUAUUUUCAUCGCCAUGUGUUUGAGCCUUGAUCUUCCAAUCCUAUUAUAGAAAAGACAAUAUCUUUCAAAAGAAAUCAGUUGGGCAGGGCUGAAUACAUGAAUAUAAUUUUAAUUCUCAACUAUUGUUCUAGUUUCACGAGUAAACAGCAUGGCUUUUCGUUCACAAUUAUAUCAUCCUAAACUCAGGCAUUUACUUCUUCCAAGCGCUUUAUUUGUUUGUGGCUUCAUUAUUUUUAUUUGUGGAUUGGUGAGAACCUUUCAUGUUGGAGAAAAAAUGCCAAGAAAUGCCCACGAAAGAAACACUGUUCAAGCAGGAAAUGAAUAUGUUGAAUGGUGGAAUGCCUUUCCUCUGAUGCUUAGUGCUGCGUUAGGAAUCGUUGCUGUAUUGUAUGAAAAACCGUUAGUUUUCAAAAUCGCUCUUGUUUCAAUUGCUGUAUGUUUUGUGCUGUCAAUAUUCUCGUUGAUGCUGGACUCUGCUGAACUUUCUUGGUUAUCUCGAAAAGUACAACGCAUGAAGUUCUUGAAAAUGGAAGGAUUUGACUGCAAGGAUUCUACCUCGACGUAUGAUAAUAGUUAUGAUACAGGAUGUAAAUGUACAAAAGACGAUAAUAAAAGGUUUGACCUCUAUAUAUCUUAGUUGGACUUCUUGUAAAGUAAUGAUGGCUCAGUAUUAUGUCUACUUCAUGAUUGUGUUCUUUACAUCGUGUUCCUGUGGUCUCUGUUUGUUCACGCUUGUCUCUUUUGUUCUCAAGCUUAAGUCGAUUUCACAGAUCAAAAAUACAAAUGCAGGAGCGUGGAUGAGACUCCAUUGAACGACAACUUUGAUAAUCUUCAUGGUAGUCACGUCACAUCGUAAUUUCUUCAAUUAGAUUAAACGAUAACUCAGUUCUUUCAUAUUUAACUUUACAAUGUCAAGAAAAAUGUGUAACAUGCACUGUCAAAAAUAUGAAGAUUUUGAUUCAUGUCA